UACGGGGGGGGCAAGCGUUGUUCGGAAUUACUGGGCGUAAAGGGCUCGUAGGUGGCCAACUAAGUCAGACGUGAAAUCCCUCAGCUUAACUGGGGAACUGCGUCUGAUACUGGAUGGCUUGAGAUUGGGAGAGGGAUGCGGAAUUCCAGGUGUAGCGGUGAAAUGCGUAGAUAUCUGGAGGAACACCGGUGGCGAAGGCGGCAUCCUGGACCGGUAUUGACGCUGAGGCGCGAAAGCCAGGGGAGCAAACGGG
rnacentral:rRNA from 1 species